GCCCAGAUCCCCAUAAGUCAGCGAUGAGGGGGGCCGAGCAGGGGCUGCCCGUUAGACGGCCGCAGAGUCCCAGCCCCCAGCCCUGCUCACCUUUCUUACCUCUCUGGCCCCGUCGGCAUUUGAGCCUGGGACCCCAGACGAAAGGAUACGCUUCCUUUUAGAACCCCUGCCAAUCUGAGGACGGGGCCACCCCACAGACGCCGUGGCUCAGCAAGCAGACCAAUGGCCGAGGAGUCUGGCAAGGGGCGCUUGGUGAGUGGGUUUAAUGACAGAUUAAGUUGCCCAUUAGGAAGCCAUUAGAACACAGCGUGAUGCAUCACUGGGUAAACGAGAGAGGCUGAAGUCAGAGACAGGAUCUUGGAGCGCUUGAUCCAAUUUAAUUCUUCUAUUUUUUUUUUUUUAAACCCUAGGCAGAUGAGAGUGGAGGUUGUAAAUCACCCUCCAUGCAAUGGUUCAUCAUAAAGGAUAUGGAGCAAAAUUAGAGGAGGCACGAGAAGGAAAGCCGGUGAUGAACAAGGUAGGGGCUGCUGCGGCGUGAUUGAAGACAGGCUGGGAACGCGGGAGAAGCCGCUGAAAACUGGCUUGGGCUGGAGGUCUGAUUAAGGCAUCCCAAGCCAGAAAAACCCAGAGCCCAGCCUUCUGCUUUGCCUUGGGGAGUAGGAUGGGGGAAUACGUGUGCAGAAAACUUUCUGAGACAGUGCCUCAUAGUGCCAUCUACAUGGAAUAUGAAGUCAAUCAGAAUGUCUCUAAAUCCUGGCUCUGUUGGGUUUUGGCUGUGUGACUUUGGGAUUUGCCUCAACUACAGAGACAGCAUGGAACACGCCCUCCUAGGCUGCCCACAUCCUCAUCUGCAUGGGGGCACAGAAGCCUGGCCAUUCAUCCCAUGGGAGACUCAGGACAUGCUCCCAGCAACCUGAUGGGCUGCCCAAGGCUUGGCUGAUCCUGCAUCCCUGCAUCACAUCUCAGCUUCUCCCUCUGCCCAAAUCUACUUCCUCCCCAUUCCUUUCACAGGCAUUGAUUCCCUGAUAAACACCUUGCACCCCAUAUUCCAUCUCAGAGUCUCCUUGCAGAGAACCCAACCUGUGGCAGAGCUGGUCUCAGGACUCGGAGCGAGGGAGCAGGGAAAGAGGACAGGAAAGCAGGGAGAGUCAAUUUAAGGGUAUGUUGUCUGAGACAAAGAUUCUGCUAGGACCUCUGAGAUGGGUACAAGAUGCCUGGAGCCAUUCACUGGGCAGUAUCUGUCCAUCAGCUCCCAGGCCCCACAGAACCGGAGCUGCCUGUGAGGGCUUUCACUGCCCUGCAUUUCUGGGCUUCACAUAUGCACUGGCUGAGAGGGCUCCCUGUCUUCAAGGACGAUCCUGAGCAGAAAGUGGGUGCACUUGAGGUGGCAUGCUGUUGCGAGAGUCUGAGCUUUAUGAGAAGCAGACCCAGGGGGCAUGGUGUGGGGCAUCCCAAAGGACCUGCCAUACAUUAGGUGCCUUGGUCUUGGGGAGGAGCCCUCGGGAGUUCUGAGGGUGGGAGAAGAGGUAGGUGGGGUUAAUCCUUUCCCAUUCCCUCCCUGCCUCAGCACCAUGGCUCAGGCAGUAGCGCUGCCAGCUCCUCCUGGGAUCAGAGUUAUGGCCCUGCUCCCCUUGUCCCUUCAGGCUGAGGAACAUAAGGGCUUCCCAUGGUUGCUGGUGUCUGAGUGCCUCAACCUCCCUUGCUGGUUCCUUUCCCCUGCCCACACCUUUGUCAAUAGUUCCCCCCACUGAAGUCUCUUUGGUUGAGCAGUUGGUGGGGAUGCUGACUGAUAAAGUGGUCUAGGCCACUGCUCACUGCUUAAAGCCUUGCUUCAGAGAGACCUUCCAGGGCCCUGCAGCUCCCCCUUCUCCAACCCCUCCAACCCCUCCAACCUUUCUCUCUCCCAGCUGGUCUGGGUUCCCUACGGCAUCUACUUGCUUUUGAAUCUAUUUCUUAUAGAUACAUGUGUGUCCUCCUCUUUCACAGCCUUACCUUUUCAUAUGGAGGAAGAAAAAACCCAUUUCUAUAAAGCUAUUAAAUGUUUUCCUUUCACAAACACCAGUUUUGUACAUCAGAAGCACUGCCUUUCAUGCCUAUUGAAUUCUCGGAAAUGGGCUUCGAGUGCCUAUUUCAGGAGUUGAAAUCUGAACAUCAGCUCUUUCUUCCUCUCUGCAUUCCUGCCACACAGUCCUAAUCCUCUCCAGUGUGAUGGAUCCCUCUGGCUGGGUAGAAGGGAGAUCAUUUAAAGGAAAUUUGAAAAAGAAAAGAAUAGUAUUCCAUUUCAAGAGAUUUUUCUCCUGACACAGUUAUUUUCAACAGGUGACAGGUAUUGAUACUGAUGAAAGAUUCUUGAGUGAAUACAAACCACUCCCCACCCCCAUCCCCAGCAUACAUUCUCUAGAAAUUCCAGAAUGCCCAGUGAGUGGAUUCAUUCCACAUAUAUUUAGUGCCUAACUACAUGCCAAGGAGCUGGGUGCUAAGAACAAAAAAGUAUGAUUCCUGCCCUCUGCCAUAGAGUUUGUGAUCUGUGUUGAUGCAUUAAAGAUUAAUCCAAUG
rnacentral:lncRNA from 1 species